rnacentral:rRNA from 11 species
UGAAGAGUUUGAUCAUGGCUCAGAUUGAACGCUGGCGGCAGGCUUAACACAUGCAAGUCGAACGAUGAAGCCCAGCUUGCUGGGUGGAUUAGUGGCGAACGGGUGAGUAACACGUGAGUAACCUGCCCUUGACUUUGGGAUAACUUCAGGAAACUGGGGCUAAUACCGGAUAGGAGCUCCUGCUGCAUGGUGGGGGUUGGAAAGUUUCGGCGGUUGGGGAUGGACUCGCGGCUUAUCAGCUUGUUGGUGGGGUAGUGGCUUACCAAGGCUUUGACGGGUAGCCGGCCUGAGAGGGUGACCGGCCACACUGGGACUGAGACACGGCCCAGACUCCUA